rnacentral:rRNA from 1 species
GAUUGNANCCAAUACGUGCCUAACACAUGCAAAUCGAAUGAAACCAAUAAUUAAUUAUUGGUUUCAUGGUGAACGGGUGAGUAACACAUAAGAAUCAGCUUUUAGAUAAGGCAUAAAAGAGUAAUAUCUUGGUAAUUCCUUAUAUGCGCAGCAGUGCUUAAAAAGGGGACUCCCGUCUAAAAACGAGCUUAUGCCUGAUUAGCUAGUUGGCGAGUUAAAAGCUCACCAAGGCGAAGAUCAGUAGCUGGCCUGAGAGGGCGGCCAGCCACAUUGGGACUGAGACACGGCCCAAACUCCUACGGGAGGCAGCAGUGGGGAAUCUUCUGCAAUGGGCGCAAGCCUGACAGAGCGGCGUCGUGUGAAGGAAGAAGGCCUGAAAUAGGUUGUAAACUUCUUUUACUGAGUAAUUAAUAAUGACAACGCAGUAAAAAAGUAUCGGCUAACUCCGUGCCAGCAGCCGCGGUAAU